GUUUGGCCUGGGGCAAUCACAAUUGUGUCUGUUUUGAAUGGUUUCACAUAGGUAGCAUCUACCUCCACAACUGUGAGCUUGUGCCCAGCAAUCUUGAAGAAGAGCUCCUCAUUGAGUGCAGCAUUGAUUAUGCGCAGUAAAACAGUUUGAGAUGGGUCCUGAAUGACCAUUGAUUGUGUGAGCAUCUGAUACAUUUGGAGCUAAUCCUGAUUUGAGAGCUUCAUUGAUCACGGCUUCGGUGUCGGAUUUCCACCACUCAGCUGUAGAAGCAGGAUCAUGUUUUAGAACCUGGUAAAAAAGGACGCCAAAGAUAUAUGUUAUUUUGCUUUCAAACUUGCUUACCUAAUACGACAACUACUUCUUUGUGAGGAGCUGGGAAUGGAUAUGGCACACCGCGCUUGGGCAAGAUGACCACAGCACCAUGGACAGUCGCCCUCAGCCACAGAAUAUGUGCGUGCCAAAGAAGGGUGCCUCUUUGGCCAGUAAUGGUGAAGUUAUAUAAAUAGCUUUUCCCUGAUGGGAUGGGACAUUGUGUAAUGUAUGCUGGUCCAUCGGCCCAACCAGUUCGAAGCUGUCGAACUCCAUGCCUGACCAGAAAAAGAAAUUCUGGAAGCCAAGAAACUCCCAGAGGAAACCAACUCAUUCCUCUACACUAAUGUAUUAGGUACUGGUUGUUGCUUGUAUUCUAUGAAACAAUUUGUCCAUAUUUUCAACAUCAUUCACAUGUUAAUUGAGAUACUGCACGCUUCAUAUCGUUCUUGAGAUGACCGGAGCGUUCUUCUCGAGAAUGGUUUUCUAAUACAUAUAGCUAAUCAAAACUCAGGUAAUUUAGAUUUGUGAAUGUAUAAUUACUGUAAUUUGUGUUUCUCACAAGUAUAUUGAAAAAUGUCAGUGGGAAGGAGGUGAAUAAUAUGGUUAG